rnacentral:rRNA from 1 species
GAUGAACGCUAGCUACAGGCCUAACACAUGCAAGUCGAGGGGAAACGACAUCGAAAGCUUGCUUUUGAUGGGCGUCGACCGGCGCACGGGUGAGUAACGCGUAUCCAACCUGCCCAUCACUUGGGAAUAACCUUGCGAAAGUAAGACUAAUACCCAAUGACAUCCCACGAAGACAUCUGAAUGGGAUUAAAGAUUUAUCGGUGAUGGAUGGGGAUGCGUCUGAUUAGCUUGUUGGCGGGGUAACGGCCCACCAAGGCAACGAUCAGUAGGGGUUCUGAGAGGAAGGUCCCCCACAUUGGAACUGAGACACGGUCCAAACUCCUACGGGAGGCAGCAGUGAGGAAUAUUGGUCAAUGGGCGAGAGCCUGAACCAGCCAAGUAGCGUGCAGGAUGACGGCCCUAUGGGUUGUAAACUGCUUUUAUAAGGGAAUAAAGUGGGUCUCGUGAGACUUUUUGCAUGUACCUUAUGAAUAAGGACCGGCUAAUUCCGUG